rnacentral:rRNA from 1 species
GACAAAGACGGGACGAAGGGGGAGGUAAGAAGUAGGGGGCGAGCGUUAAGAGGAGUUAGUGGUCGUAAAGCGUGUGCAGGACGUUAGGUAAGCCAGAAGUGAAAUACCCGGGCUCAACGUGGGAACGGCGUUUGGGACUGCAGAACUAGAGUACGGCAGAGGGAGGUGGAAUUCCACGUGUAGCAGGGAAAGGCGUAGAGAUGUGGAGGAACACCGAUGGCGAAGGCAGCCUCCUGGGCCAGUACUGACGCUCAUGCACGAAAGCGUGGGGAGCAAACAGGAUUAGAUACCCGAGUAGUC